rnacentral:rRNA from 1 species
GACGAACGCUGGCGGCGUGCUUAACACAUGCAAGUCGAGCGGUAAGGCUCCUUCGGGAGUACACGAGCGGCGAACGGGUGAGUAACACGUGAGCAAUCUGCCCUUCACUUUGGGAUAACUCCGGGAAACCGGUGCUAAUACCGAAUGCGACCACUUCAGGCAUCUGACGGUGGUGGAAAGUUCCGGCGGUGAAGGAUGAGCUCGCGGCCUAUCAGCUUGUUGGUGAGGUAAUGGCUCACCAAGGCUUCGACGGGUAGCCGGCCUGAGAGGGUGACCGGCCACACUGGGACUGAGACACGGCCCAGACUCCUACGGGAGGCAGCAGUGGGGAAUAUUGGACAAUGGGCGAAAGCCUGAUGCAGCGACGCCGCGUGAGGGAUGACGGCCUUCGGGUUGUAACCGUACUUUCAAUAGGACGAAGCGC